UACGUAGGGGGCUAGCGUUGUCCGGAAUCAUUGGGCGUAAAGCGCGUGUAGGCGGUUCGGUAAGUCCGCUGUGAAAGUCGGGGGCUCAACCCUCGAAAGCCGGUGGAUACUGUCGGUCUAGAGUGCGGAAGAGGCGAGUGGAAUUCCUGGUGUAGCGGUGAAAUGCGCAGAUAUCAGGAGGAACACCAAUAGCGAAGGCAGGAGACUGGACCAAAUCUGACACUGAAACACGAAAGCGUGGGUAGCGAAUGGG
rnacentral:rRNA from 1 species